rnacentral:rRNA from 1 species
GCCUCCCUCUUUCUUCGUGCUUAACACAUGCAAGUCGAACGGAAAGGCCCAGCUUGCUGGGUACUCGAGUGGCGAACGGGUGAGUAACACGUGGGUGAUCUGCCCUGCACUCUGGGAUAAGCCUGGGAAACUGGGUCUAAUACCGGAUAUGACCGACUGUCGCAUGGUGGUUGGUGGAAAGCUUUUGCGGUGUGGGAUGGGCCCGCGGCCUAUCAGCUUGCUGGUGGGGUAAUGGCCUACCAAGGCGACGACGGGUAGCCGACCUGAGAGGGUGAUCGGCCACACUGGGACUGAGACACGGCCCAGACUCCUACGGGAGGCAGCAGUGGGGAAUAUUGCACAAUGGGCGCAAGCCUGAUGCAGCGACGCCGCGUGAGGGAUGACGGCCUUCGGGUUGUAAACCUCUUUCACCAGGGACGAAGCGUGAGUGACGGUACCUGGAGAAGAAGCACCGGCCAACUACGUG